CAGUCGCCACGGUAACACGUAGGGUGCGAGCGUUAAUCGGAAUUACUGGGCGUAAAGCGUGCGCAGGCGGUUGUGUAAGACAGGUGUGAAAUCCCCGGGCUUAACCUGGGAACUGCGCUUGUGACUGCACAGCUAGAGUAUGGCAGAGGGGGGUGGAAUUCCACGUGUAGCAGUGAAAUGCGUAGAGAUGUGGAGGAACACCGAUGGCGAAGGCAGCCCCCUGGGCCAAUACUGACGCUCAUGCACGAAAGCGUGGGGAGCAAACAGGAUUAGAUACCCCCGUAGUCCCUGUCUCUUAUAA
rnacentral:rRNA from 1 species